CGCGCACGGACAGUCACUCGUCAGACGUCUAACAGGGUGGGUGUGCUUCGCGGUGGAAGUAAGUUCAUCUCUCUUUCUCUUUCUUUUAUAUUUCUCUCUCUCUUUCUCUCCAUAUCUCGCGGAUAUCGCAACGGGACGGCGUGCAAAGACACAAAACGGAGGCGCGCACUCGUCGGAACUCCGCUGUGCGCGCGUGUGUGCGUGUGUGUUCGUGCGUGCGCGUACGUGCAGUACGUACGUACGUGCAUGCGUGCGUGCGUACGUGCGUGCGUGCGUGCAUGCGUGCGUGCCCAGCCAGCCACAGCCAGCUAGUCAACCAUCCACACGGUCUGUCUCUCACUCUGUCGGCAGCGCAGCUGAACCUCGCGCCGCAGUCAUCGCUGACCGCGUUGUACAGGUUCCUUGCGUCGGGAAAUGGAGCUCGAGCAGGCGGCGCCGCAGGUGAACCUGGACCCGGAAAGGAAGACCAAGGAGAGCGGCGGCGGCGUCUCCGGGAAUCACAGUGAUCAUAUCAAUGGCAUGACCAACGGUUUUGAUAAAAAAAGGGAACACAAAUCUGAGCACAGAGACAAAGAUAAGGAGCGAUCUCACAAAUCGGAUCAUAAGGAUAAAGAUCGAAGCAGAGAAAAGGACAAAAAUCACAAGAGUGAACACAGAGAUAAGGACAAAGAUAAGCACAGACAUAGCUCCAGUUCCGUUAAGGAUAAGGAGAAGCACGAUGGAAGCAAUAAUAGGGAUAAAGACAAGGACAAAAAGAGCUCCUCGUCUAGUAAGGACAAGGAACAUAAAAGUAGUUCAUCCAGUAAGGAUAAAGAAAAGGACAAGAACAGAGACAAGGAACAUCAUCACAAAUCGAGUUCCAAAGAUAAGGACAGGCAUCAUAGCAGUUCUAAGGACAAAGACAGUUCGAGCAAAGAUAAGGACAAGGACGCCAAGAGUAAGGAUAAAGAUAGACAUAGACACAGUAGUUCCUUGAACUCUAGCUCGCGUGACAAAGACAAGGAUCGAAGUAUUUCGAAGGACAAGGAUAAGGAUGGCAAAAAACAUUCGGAAAAGGACAAGGAUAGACAUUCCACUUCUCACUCUUUGGGCGAUAAAGAAAAACAUCGUUCGUCGGAAAAAGACAAGCAUAGAGAAAGUUCUAGCAGCAAAGAUAAACAUCGUCAUGAAAAAGAUAGAGACCGCCACCGUCACGACAAGGAUAAAUCUAAGCAUCGCGAGGAAAGAGAAAAGAAGGAUAAGGAGGAGAUUAAAAUAAAGGAAGAACCAAACGUGAAAAUGAAUCACUCAAUUAACGAAGGAUUUCAUUACAAUACAGAAAUCAAAUCUGAGAUAAAAGAGGAACCUAUGACACAACCAGAUUUAGACGAUGAUGAUGACAGUGGCGGCGAGCGACCGUUGUAUAUCAAAGAGGAUGACGAUGAUGAACCGAUCAAGGAGGAUGUUAGUAUGGAUUCGACCGACGGAAAUGAUACCAGAUUAUCAGAUCUUCAUAAUACAACUUUAAAAACGGAAGAAGAAUCAGAAGAGGAUAAACCAUUGUUUUCAAGAUCGAAGGUAUUGCCAAACGUGAAGAGAAAGAUUGACUCGGAUGAAGAUGAAGACGUUCCACUGUCAGCACGUAAGAAAUCCAAAAAACCGGCUACUAGCCAGAAGACAAAGAAAAAGAAACGAAAAUAUGGAGAUGACGAUGAUUCUGACGCCGAGGCUGAAGAGACACAGAAACCAAAGAAGAAGAAUACAAAGGUGAAAACGGAAGGUGGUAGCCCGAGGAAAAAGAAGCAAGAGGAGGAGCAAGAAGUUUGGAAAUGGUGGGAGGAAGAGAAGAAGAGUGAUGGCACGAAAUGGUAUUUCUUGGAGCACAAGGGACCAGUAUUUGCGCCACCCUACGAACCUUUGCCUCCCACCGUCAAGUUUUAUUAUAAUGGCAAGGAGAUGAAGUUAAGCCAAGAUACAGAGGAGGUAGCGACUUUCUAUGCGCGUAUGCUGGAUCAUGAUUAUACGACCAAGGCUACGUUCAAUAAUAACUUCUUUCAUGAUUGGCGAGAAGUGAUGACUGAAUCAGAACGUGCCAAGAUUACUGAUCUGACCAAGUGCAACUUCAAGGAGAUGCAUGCAUACUUUGUCCAGAAGAGCGAAGAACGCAAGGCUAUGACGAAGGAAGAAAAGCAGAAGAUUAAGGAGAAGAAUGAGGAGAUACAGAAGGAAUAUGGCUUUUGUUCUAUCGAUGGGCAUAAGGAAAAAAUUGGUAACUUCAAAAUUGAACCACCUGGCUUGUUCAGGGGUCGGGGUGAGCAUCCCAAAAUGGGUAAGCUGAAGAAGCGUGUGUUGCCAGAGGACGUGCUCAUUAAUUGCUCAAAAGACUCGAAUAUACCGAAACCACCGUCCGGUCACAAAUGGAAGGAAGUGCGACACGAUCCUAAUGUCACAUGGCUUGCAUCUUGGACAGAAAACGUUCAAGGCCAAGUGAAGUACGUGAUGUUAAACCCGUCUAGCAAGCUUAAAGGUGAGAAGGACUGGCAGAAGUAUGAGACAGCGCGAAAACUGGCGCAAUCGAUUGACAAAAUCCGCGCCGAAUAUCGAGAGGAUUGGAAAAGUAAAGAAAUGCGCAUUAGGCAACGAGCCGUUGCUCUUUACUUCAUCGACAAACUAGCGCUUAGGGCUGGCAACGAGAAGGAUGAGGAUCAGGCAGAUACCGUGGGUUGCUGUUCGUUGCGAGUGGAGCAUAUCAAGCUGCAUGAACAAAAGGAUGGCAAGGAAUAUGUCGUUGUAUUUGAUUUCUUAGGUAAAGAUUCCAUACGGUAUUAUAACGAGGUACCAGUGGAAAAGCGCGUAUUUAAAAACCUGCAGCUCUUUAUGGAGAAUAAAUCACCCGGAGAUGAUCUGUUCGACCGUCUCAAUACUACCGUGAUGAACAAACAUCUGAAUGAAUUAAUGGAAGGUCUCACCGCUAAAGUAUUCAGAACUUAUAACGCGUCGUGGACGUUGCAACAGCAGCUCGACAAAUUGACAGAUCCAAACGACGUGGAGGCAGAAAAGAUUCUUUCCUAUAAUCGAGCCAAUCGCGCCGUUGCCAUACUGUGUAACCAUCAGCGUUCUGUGCCAAAGACGCACGCGAAAUCCAUGGAGAACUUGAAGGCAAAGAUUGAUGCGAAGAAAGAGGCGAUAGCCGAGUGCGAGUUGCAAGUGAAAGAUGCCAAACGUGAUGCGAAACACGGUUCGGUGAAAGAAAAAGUAACAUAUGAAAAGAAGAAGAAACAGCUGGAAAGGUUGAAGGAACAAUUGACGAAGCUAGAGGUCCAAGCGACUGAUCGAGAGGAGAAUAAAGAGAUCGCGCUGGGUACCUCCAAACUGAAUUAUCUCGAUCCUAGAAUUUCUGUUGCAUGGUGUAAAAAGCACAAUGUCCCGAUCGAGAAGAUUUAUAACAAGACUCAAAGGGAUAAAUUCCGAUGGGCAAUAGACAUGGCGGGCCCUGACUAUGUGUUUUAACCCUGUGGUUUAUCAUCAUCGUCAUCGUAAUUAAUGCCAUUGCAUGUCGGUUUAUGAGGAAAGUACACCUCCUGCUGACGAUGUAUUUAGUGAAUUUUACGUUCUAACGAGAAGCCAGGAGACUUAAAAGUAAGACAGAAAGAAAGAAAGAUAAAAAGAACAAAAGAUGAACAGUGUAACGAUACAGAAAAAUUUUUUUACACUUACAUGGUAUAAAUGUGAGAAAGUGUGGGAACAUAUUUUCUAUAGGAUGAUAUACGUCACAUACGUAUUGAAUCACGUUGCGAUUAGUAUAUCUAAAGUGAUGUGAUUAAACGCGUUAGGUUCGAAGAGAGAAUUAGUCUAGAAUUGAUUAAAAAGAAGAAAGAUCGUUAAAUUUAUAAAUUGCAUGGGCGCAACGAUUGAUUCUGUGAGGAGCACAGAGAUUUCGCGCCGAUCUCGCGAAAGCUACAACUGCGUUAUUGUACAUAUAUAUAGGACACAUUCAUGUGAGUGAGACGCAAAUACACAAUUUAUGCUAUGUCGAUAUUUAAAAAAAAAAAGAAAAAGGGGAAAAGAAGAAAAAGAAACAAACUUUUUAAAUAGGCAGCUGAUAAAUUUUGUAUUUCCCUUAAUGAGUAUACACAUGUAAACACAACUUGUUUCUCUCUCAUAAAUGUAUGAUAAUGUCAUUCAUCAACCACAUUUACAUUUUACAGCAUCGUGUUGAGGACAUUAUAUGUAUUCGUAGAACGUAUUCAAUAUUGCGCACUCCUUUUUUGAUAUAUAAAUGAUGAGGCAGA
rnacentral:misc_RNA from 1 species